AUUGAACGCUGGCGGCAUGCCUUACACAUGCAAGUCGAACAGUAACAGGUCUUCGGAUGCUGACGAGUGGCGAACGGGUGAGUAAUACAUCGGAACGUGCCUGGUAGUGGGGGAUAACUACUCGAAAGAGUGGCUAAUACCGCAUGAGAUCUACGGAUGAAAGCAGGGGAUCGCAAGACCUUGUGCUACUAGAGCGGCCGAUGGCAGAUUAGGUAGUUGGUGGGAUAAAAGCUUACCAAGCCGACGAUCUGUAGCUGGUCUGAGAGGACGAUCAGCCACACUGGGACUGAGACACGGCCCAGACUCCUACGGGAGGCAGCAGUGGGGAAUUUUGGACAAUGGGCGAAAGCCUGAUCCAGCAAUGCCGCGUGCAGGAUGAAGGCCUUCGGGUUGUAAACUGCUUUUGUACGGAACGAAAAGACCUGGGUUAAUACCCUGGGGUCAUGACGGUACCGUAAGAAUAAGCACCGGCUAACUACGUGCCAGCAGCCGCAGUAACAC
rnacentral:rRNA from 1 species